AGUGAACGCUGGCGGUAGGCCUAACACAUGCAAGUCGAACGGCAGCACAGUAAGGGCUUGCUCUUACGGGUGGCGAGUGGCGGACGGGUGAGGAAUACAUCGGAAUCUACUUUUUCGUGGGGGAUAACGUAGGGAAACUUACGCUAAUACCGCAUACGACCUACGGGUGAAAGCAGGGGAUCUUCGGACCUUGCGCGAUUGAAUGAGCCGAUGUCGGAUUAGCUAGUUGGCGGGGUAAAGGCCCACCAAGGCGACGAUCCGUAGCUGGUCUGAGAGGAUGACCAGCCACACUGGAACUGAGACACGGUCCAGACUCCUACGGGAGGCAGCAGUGGGGAAUAUUGGACAAUGGGCGCAAGCCUGAUCCAGCCAUACCGCGUGGGUGAAGAAGGCCUUCGGGUUGUAAAGCCCUUUUGUUGGGAAAGAAAAGCAGCAGGUUAAUACCCCGCUGUUCUGACGGUACCCAAAGAAUAAGCACCGGCUAACUUCGUG
rnacentral:rRNA from 1 species